UACGGAGGGUGCGAGCGUUGUCCGGAAUCAUUGGGCGUAAAGGGCGCGUAGGUGGCCCGGUCAGUUCGUGGUGAAAGCGCGGGGCUCAACCCUGCGUCGGCCAUGAAUACUGCCGCGGCUGGAGCACUGUAGAGGCAGGCGGAAUUCCGGGUGUAGCGGUGGAAUGCGUAGAGAUCCGGAAGAACACCAGAGGCGACGGCGGCCUACUGGGCUGCACCUGACGCUGAGCCGCGAAAGCCAGGGGAGCGAACGGG
rnacentral:rRNA from 1 species